ensembl:lncRNA novel transcript
GCUUCCGCUUCUACUGGUGAUAUGGGAAGGGCCCACUCACUGAACUAACUCCCUUCCCUCUACUCCCAGAGCCCGCCCGGCAGGACCACCGAGCAAGGCCUUGGAAAACCAGAGAGAUUAGAGCGGUGAGUCGCGCCGGUCACGUUGGACGCCUGCGCGUUAGGAGAUUCUGGAGCCAGAACAGCUGAAUUGCCUUCGCCCGCCCUGCCCCUCGCCUGCUUCAGAAGCUUCCAGGAACUCCCGGGUCGGCGACCCAGCCCGAGCCGCCUGGGGCCCCAAGGGAAGCUGAACGCCCUGUGGGCUCCUGGGAUGGUUCUUCCCGUUCUUUGCGCCGCCUUCACCCAUUGAAGAGCCUGUGCCCACCCUGCCCAGUCGCUCUCGGGGCCGCGGAGGAGCUUCCGCUGCCAUCUUCGGAUCCUGUGUUCCGCACGGGGGCUCCACCAGGGCAGGGAUGGUGCAGAAUGGGGAAAUGGAGAGAGAACCUGAAAGAGCCCCAAACUCGAGGACCUAUUGCUCCCCAAGAAUAACAUCUUCCAGAAGAACUAGACAGAAAACUAGGCGUCUGGGAACUCUGAAAUCCUUGGAGGAGUAGCAUCAUCAUGACCCUCUGUGUUCCUUUUGGCAAAGGACUUGCUCCCAUUGUUUGCUUGUUCCAUUGUCUGUCUGUUAAAUAAAUAAAACCCUUUUCAUAUAUCUUUAAACUUACGUUGGUUUUAUUAUUUCAUGAUUACAAAUAAUGCUGCAGUCAUCAUUCUUGUACACUCUCAUUGGCCACUGGUGUAUUUCUAUAGGGUGGAGGCCUGGAGAGUAGUUGUUCCAGCAUAGUGUUUACAUAGCUUUUAUUUCAUUCCGUUUUCUUUCCUUUGUUGCUUUAUUAGCUAUAACCCUUUUCUUAUUUAAGAGGCUGCUUUAGGGUUUCCGGGAUACAUCUUUAAUUUAUCAUAGUCUGCUUUCUAGUGUCAUUAUGCCUCCCUUUCUGGCCUUUAUCCUAGUGUUAUGUAGUUUUACUUUAUGCACUAUAAGCUUUGUGAUUCAUUAUUACUUUUAUUUAUUACGUCAAAUAUUUUUUGAAAGAUUUAAAUUAUAAGAAAACGUGUAGUACAUGUUUUCUAAAUGCCAUUUCCAAUAUUCGUUUCUUUGUGUAGGCCCACAUUUUUAUCUGGUAUCCUUUUGCUUCUGCCUGGAGGACUCUUAAGAUUUCUUGCAGCAUGGGUUGGUGAAUUCUUUUAGCUUUUGUAUUUUUUCAAUGUCCUUAUUUCACUCACAGUUAUGAAAUUUUAUUUUUGCAUAGAAUUCUAGAUUAACUUUUUUUCUCUAGGUACUUUAAAAAUGUUGCCAUUUAUGAAGCAUUGUCAUUUAAAAUAUCACCUUUCUUUCCUAUGUUUGUAAAUAUGGCGUAAAGCCGGUUUCUUGUGCUGGUUAUACAAUUUUCAGAAUGUGUAUUUAAAUUUAAAAUAUUAAAUUGUACUAAAAAACUAAAAAUAUUAAUCAUGAAUGUCCUAGAUUCAUCUUAAGUUCCAACAGUACACUUAAAGUGUGCCCAACCUGAGGGUCAAACCUACUUGCUGACAUGGAAUUUGUGUUUGUGAGAGCCUAGUGAUUUUCCUUACAUCUGAAUGUCUUCAUUGCAAAAGGAAACGUUUUUCUUUGCCAAAAUACUUUAAAA